rnacentral:rRNA from 1 species
GACAGAGGGUGCAAACGUUGUUCGGAAUUACUGGGCGUAAAGCGAGUGUAGGCGGUUCGAUAAGUCGGAUGUGAAAGCCCCGGGCUCAACCCGGGAAGUGCACUCGAUACUGUCGAGCUAGAGUAUCGGAGAGGUUGGUGGAAUUCUCGGUGUAGUGGUGAAAUGCGUAGAGAUCGGGAGGAACACCAGUGGCGAAGGCGGCCGGCUGGGGGUGACCUGACGCUGAGGCGCGAAAGCGUGGGGAGCGAACCGGGA